AAGUCGUAACAAGGUAACCGUAGGUGAACCUGCGGUUGGAUCAUUAAUAAAUUCUAGAGCAGGUGUGAUUGAGCAAUCAUGAACCCUGUUUCUUAACAAUUUGUGAAUCGUUUAUUGUCUCUUGCGAUUGAGAAUCAAGGUGCGUUUUGCGCAUCUCUCGGUCGCAUGUGAAUCUUAACAUUGUAAUAUAACCAUCUGUCUUGAAACUUAAACCUAAAAAAUUUAAAAACAACUUUUGACAACGGAUCUCUAGGCUCUC
rnacentral:misc_RNA from 1 species